rnacentral:misc_RNA from 1 species
UCUACGGAGAAUUGAGCACGGCCGGUGGGCCGUGGUGUUCGGGGCAGGUUCGUUGAUGUGGUGGUUUGCGCCGCUGCCUGUCCUUGCUGGUGUGGAAGAGUCAUAUUGGAUCACGGUCGUGUCGGUCGUGGUGGUGUGGUGCGUGCUGUUGGGUUCCCUGGCCGCCACCGGCCCCCCGUGCGAGGGUGUGGUUGCCGGAUGUCCCCCAGGUCGGCUGCCCGGUGCCUGUUGGUGCGAUGUGAGUGUCCUGGUGGGGUGGUGGUUUGAGAACUGGAUAGUGGACGCGAGCAUCGUCCCGCCCGUUGUGGGUGGGGUUGGUGUUCGUACUGUGAUUCGAAUCCGAGGAAUCGUUUUUCUUGUGUUCGAUCGUAUCGUGUGCAGCCGCGCCGUGUGCGGUGCGUCUCCGUGAUCUGAUGUCGUUCUAGGGUUUU